UUCUCUUUGUUGGGUAUCUCUCUUGCUUCC
rnacentral:piRNA from 1 species